UACGUAGGGUGCGAGCGUUAAUCGGAAUUACUGGGCGUAAAGCGUGCGCAGGCGGUGAUGUAAGACCGAUGUGAAAUCCCCGGGCUUAACCUGGGAACUGCAUUGGUGACUGCAUCGCUCGAGUAUGGCAGAGGGGGGUAGAAUUCCACGUGUAGCAGUGAAAUGCGUAGAGAUGUGGAGGAAUACCGAUGGCGAAGGCAGCCCCCUGGGCCAACACUGACGCUCAUGCACGAAAGCGUGGGGAGCAAACAGG
rnacentral:rRNA from 1 species